CAGCCGCCACGGGAAUACGUAGGGUGCGAGCGUUAAUCGGAAUCACUGGGCGUAAAGCGUGCGCAGGCGGUUUUGUAAGACAGGCGUGAAAUCCCCGGGCUUAACCUGGGAACUGCGUUCUGAACUGGGUAGCUAGAGUGUGUCAGAGGGGGGUAGAAUUCCACGUGUAGCAGUGAAAUGCGUAGAGAUGUGGAGGAAUACCGAUGGCGAAGGCAGCCCCCUGGGAUAACACUGACGUUCAUGCUCGAAAGCGUGGGUAGCAAACAGGAUUAGAUACCCGCGUAGUCCCUGUCUCUUAUAC
rnacentral:rRNA from 1 species